UGUGUCAAGUGUCAAUACAAUUUUAUCAUCAUUUAUUAUAAAUUGUAAUAAAUUAAAUUAGUAUUUUAUUGUUUAUUGUAACAGAGCGCAUAUAUUGAGAAGUCAGCUGUGUUGGUGUCGAGGCAGUGAGCUGCACUGCUGGCUCAGCAUCUCUCCUCUUCCUCCUCCUCCUCCUCCUCCUCGCGCCCAGACCGAAUGAAGGUCAAGACUCACCGCUCGACUGCAGGAUUGAUGACUUAAAAGCGUGGCGGUCUUCAGUCGAUAUGAUUUGGCAGCGUCGAUGCGCCUCACGGGUGUGAUAUUGACCCGGGAGUUAUGUUUCCAGGAGCGCGAGGAGCUGUGUAAGCCAGAGGUGCGGGUCGUGACUUUCCGGCGAUGAGACGAGAAUUGAACAUCAAUCGCGUAUUGACUCUUCCCUCUUGAGUUUUAACGUUGUACCGGAUCUUCAAAUGACCCCCGAAUGACCUUUAAGGGACCUUUGAAUGGCAACUGACCUUAGAAAGACCUUGGAAAGGUGCAUAGCAUUUAGUAACUGUGGGACACACUACUUUUCACUGAUUGACCCUAACAAACUGACCCCAUAGAAAUUACAGUACUAAUAAAUUCUGACAUUAUUUACUUGGCCUCUAGUUGCUUCAAAACUGUAUGACUACUCUGUUUGAUUGGCUUAGAUUUAUUUAUUCUUUUUUUUUUAAUUCAUUUAUUUAUUCUUCUUUUUUUUUAUUUGUAUCAAUGAACAAACUAAUUAAUUAAUUAAUGGAAAGGUCUCACAAGUCUGACUUAAAAACUUAGAAUUGCAAUAAAAAUAAUCUGAAUUGUGGGAUAUUCGGAACAUCAGUAAAAAUAUAAAUGAUGAAAUAUUCACACACGCAAGGGAAAAACAUCUAAAGUGUGAAAUAAAACUGAAUUGCAGUAAAAAAUGAUACUGUGAAGAGAUUAAAAACAGGUCUAAAUUGUGAUGUACUGUGAGAUCUUGAUUUUGGGUCACUGUACCUUUAAUUGAUCUUCUAGAAGAGGGAAUUCUAAUGCGUAUAUAUGAGUAUUAUAAGAAUGACAGUUUUGAAAGGGUUUUCGAUAAUGAAAAGAUAGCUUUGUUCAUUGUUAUUAUAGAUACCCUUCAAAACAGUCGUCUAAAUAUGUUUUCAACCCAAUAAACGACCCGUAAUUCCACCUC